GUGGACCCUCACACCUGAUAAUGAACAACCUUGCUCAAAAUCCAGGCUUUUUUUUUUUUUUUUUAAAGACAAGGACAUGGGGUGGGGGCCAGAAGUUUGCACAGGGAAGGCCACCCCUUCCUGGUCCUAGGCCUGAAUCCCAACGGACUGGGCGGCCUGAGCCUGGCAGCGGCACUCCUCACAGUCUAUCAGAGGUGGCACCGCUGUCCCCCAGCUCCGGACCUCAGAGCCAUCUGUGUGACUCCUCCUCCCGCUUCACCCUCCCCAGCCAAUCAGUCACCAAGUCCUCCUGAUUUGGCCUCCCGGGCUGUGUCAGCUUCCAAACUUCACUUCUACCUGAGGAGGCAGCCGGCUCAGGUCUCUUUAACCGAGUAGAUUUCUAUGCACAUAUGGCUACCCAGCCUCUAGGAUGAAUCCAGGUUGGCCCUGCCCUCAGGAAGCACCCAAUCCCCCCGGGAGGGGCACACACAUAAACAAUCAUAUAUCUUCCAGGAAGCCUUUCCCAGUCCAGUAAACAUUUAUUGAGGACCUACUAAUGCCAAAUGAUGUGCUGGUUGACUGGGAGCACAGCUAUGAAUGAGUUGGACAAGGUCUCUGUCCUCAUGGAGUUUCUAGUCUAGCACAGGAUGGCAAAAAAUGGAGGUAACUGGGGACAGGAUCCAUAGAGGCCCUUUAUUCCCAAGCCCCAAUCCUCAAGCACAGUGACUGGCACAGGGCAGAGGCACCAUACUUACAUGUGGCAUGAGUUAGUUGGCAUCACAAGGCACAAUGUGAGAACACAGAGGAGGCCACUCUUCCCCGGAGAGCUGAAGGUGGUUUUCAGAAAGUCCUUCUGGAGUGAACCUGGUGGGGAAGAAAGGAAGAUCUUCCAGCUUCCAGAAAUGAGUUAAAGUGCCAGUCCAUUGUUGAGAUAUUUCAUGAGUUAAUCCAACAAUAAAUGGGGCAAAGAGACAAAUCACCUGUACAGAAGAAUUCCAAAUAAUUUGUGUGGCUAUUCCAUACUGCUUAGCCAUCGUCUACACAUAGUGAGUGCCUUCGAAAGAGCACAGUGUGGAAAAGGAGGGAGGAAAGUACUUUACAGUGGAAAAACCUGACAACUAUCACUUCAGCCAAGUGACCAAAGCCAACAUCAACAGUCAUGAACCAUGUUGAUAGUAUGUGAGUUUGAUAUUAUGUGAUAAAAAUUAUACUUUACCUCUUUGGUCUUCUUCCCGAGAACCAUAACCCUAGACUUGCUGGGAGAAAAAUAUCAGACAUCAAGUGUGGAGCAUCCAACAAAAUACCUGUCUGGUUACUCCUCAAAACUCUCCAGAUCAUCAAAAACAAGGAGAGUCUGAGAAACUGGAGCAGCCCCAAGGAACCGGAAGAUGCAUGACAGAGACAGAGUCUCUCUAAGUUGCUUUUGAGCUUCAUGAAAUUGCUGGGGCUGCCUUUGAACUUGUGAUCCUCCUGCCUCAGCCUCCCAAGCCGCUGGAAUUACAGGUGUGUGCCACCACACCUGGCAAGAAAAUAAUCUUUCAAAAUGUACUAGCCAUAGCAUUGUUGAGAGUGUCAAUGAAAUAAUGCUCAUCAUAGUACCUAAGAUUCUGAGGGUCCUCAAAGCUAUUAUGUCAUGAUCAGCAGCAACAGCACUUAAAACCGCACACACAGAGGCAGAGGGGUGCAGGACGAAAGAGAGGCAGAGAGAUAGAAUCCAAAAGACCUUGGCUGCUGAGCUAGGCUUUGGAAGGGACGUGUGGGGGGCAGAUAACAUGACCUGGCCCAUCUCAGCCUCACCACCUCCUCUCUUACCACCUGGAAAGCCAUGCUCCCGUCAUCCCAAGUGAGCUGCCUCUCAGACCUUGCCAUCUCCCUUCUGUGUGACCUUUGCACAUGCUGUCCCUUCUUCCUGGAACAUCCUUCCUUGUUGUUUCCUCCCACCUUUCCUGGCUACCUUCAACUCGUCUUUCAGGUCUUAGUUUAGACAUCCUCUUUAAAAGCCUUCUAGGACCUUCCAUGAUGCUGUUAACAUGGUCUGAAUGGAGACAGUGUGGUGAGGUGCAGGAAGUCACAGAGACUCGCAGCUCUUUGCCACUGGUAUUCACACUCCUCUCCUCCCAAUCCAGCCAUGCUUCAUGCUUCUUAUCCCUGAACACAUUGUGAACUUUCAUGUGCCAGCCUCUUCUCGUGCCCAUCCAUCUGCCUGGCAGCCUCAGUCCUUUUCUCCCAUCUCUUCUCUCUGAUGAACACCUACUCAUCGAGGCUCAACUCAAAUAUCACCUCUUCUGUGAAGCCAUUCUAGAUCCUCUGCAUGGAAAGAGAUGCUUUCCCCUAGUUCCCCUGAUCCCCUUGGACCUCUGGCCACACUUCUGACAAAGCACUUAUCAUGGUGCAUCAGAAUAAAUAUUUGCUGAAUGGAUCAACAAA